CCUACGGGUGGCAGCAGUGAGGAAUAUUGGUCAAUGGACGCAAGUCUGAACCAGCCAAGCCGCGUGCAGGAAGACGGCUCUAUGGGUUGUAAACUGCUUUUGUACGAGGGUAAAUCCCGAUACGUGUAUCGGGUUGAAAGUAUCGUACGAAUAAGGAUCGGCUAACUCCGUGCCAGCCGCCGCGGUAAUACGGAGGAUUCAAGCGUUAUCCGGAUUUAUUGGGGUUAAAGGGGGCGUAGGCGGUAAGAUAAGUUCGAGGUUAAAUCCCGGGGCUCAACUCCGGCACUGCCUCUGAUACUGUCGGGAUAGAGUGUAGUUGCGGUAGGCGGAAUGUAUGGUGUAGCGGUGAAAUGCAUAGAGAUCAUACAGAACACCGAUUGCGAAGGCAGCUUACCAAACUACGACUGACGUUGAGGCACGAAAGCGUGGGGAGCAAACAGGAUUAGAUACCCGUGUAGUC
rnacentral:rRNA from 1 species